UCUCCCCGAAAGCUAUUUAGGUAGCGCCUCGUGAAUUCAUCUCCGGGGGUAGAGCACUGUUUCGGCUAGGGGGCCAUCCCGGCUUACCAACCCGAUGCAAACUGCGAAUACCGGAGAAUGUUAUCACGGGAGACACACGGCGGGUGCUAACGUCCGUCGUGAAGAGGGAAACAACCCAGACCGCCAGCUAAGGUCCCAAAGUCAUGGUUAAGUGGGAAACGAUGUGGGAAGGCCCAGACAGCCAGGAUGUUGGCUUAGAAGCAGCCAUCAUUUAAAGAAAGCGUAAUAGCUCACUGGUCGAGUCGGCCUGCGCGGAAGAUGUAACGGGGCUAAACCAU
rnacentral:rRNA from 1 species